AGAAUCAACGCUGGCGGCGUGCCUAACACAUGCAAGUCGCACGAGAAAGUGGAGCAAUCCACGAGUAAAGUGGCGCACGGGUGAGUAACACGUGAAUAAUCUACCUCCGAGUGGGGAAUAACUGAGAGAAAUCUUAGCUAAUACCGCAUAAUACCCACGGGUCAAAGCAGCAAUGCGCUUGGAGAGGAGUUCGCGGCCGAUUAGCUAGUUGGCGGGGUAAUGGCCCACCAAGGCGAUGAUCGGUAUCCGGCCUGAGAGGGCGCACGGACACACUGGAACUGAAACACGGUCCAGACUCCUACGGGAGGCAGCAGUGGGGAAUUUUGCGCAAUGGGGGAAACCCUGACGCAGCAACGCCGCGUGGAGGAUGAAAUCCCUUGGGAUGUAAACUCCUUUCGAUAGGGAAGAUAAUGACGGUACCUAUAGAAGAAGCCCGGCUAACUUCGCGCCAGCAGCCGC
rnacentral:rRNA from 1 species